UCUCAAGAGAUUAUCUAACGUUUGACGUAAAUAUAUAUAAUUUAGUUUAAUAAAAAAAAAGUAGCGUGACGUCAUCAGUACCAAAUAAUGCCCCAAUUUUGACUCUUUAAGCACUUUCAGAAAGACGCUAAAACCUUCUGUCUCUUUUUCCUCUUCAAUAAUUUAUGUAUACUUGGCAUCAAAUGCAACAUUUCCAAGAUGUAAUGUUAUUUCUAAUCCUACUGCUAAAAUUGUAUGGAAAAAAGGAUUUAGAGAACUACCGACUACAAGAUCAAUUCAAUCAGGUUCUGGUGAUUUUAUAAUUAUGGAUGUCCGUGUAGAAAACGAAGGCUUUUAUGUUUGUUCAGCAGAAAAUUAUUUAGGUGCAGAUUCUGACGCAGCUAAAAACAAAACCAUUAAAAAUUAUUUAUGGACAUUUAACAACAGACUCUGGCAGAGUCUGUUGUUUUUAGCUUCCCCAGCACGCUCUGGUAUGGUUCAUUUGGAAAAACCAGUCAAAUGUCUGGAAACUCGCAAUCUUUAACUACUGGUCAAGCUAUUGAACAUACCGAAAUAAAGAAUAGAAGUUUUUAUAAUAUUACAAUACAAGUUACUGAAAGCGGUAAAUACUCAUGUGAGUUUGAUGAUGGUAUAUCAACAGUUAAUAGAGUUUCUGUGAUGCGAAAUAUUGCAUCUGUUUUUAACUGAGAGGGAUUUUUUAAACUUUACUUUGGAUAGGAAGAUGAUUGGAAAGAUAAAUUUAAGAAUUUGACAACUUACAUUAGAAAGUUUUUGACAAUCUUCAAAUUCGGGACCCUUUUGCUAUGGGAAGUAUAUGAAAUUCAAUUUUGAUGUUGUCAAUUCUAAAUCAUCUGGAUCUGUGUAUUUUAUGUGUCAGCUUCAGAUUUUCAUGAGAAUAUUGCCUUUAUUUCCUCUGAAAAGCAAUGCCUCUAUGCUGAACACAUCUGCUAAAUAUAAUAUCCUAAGGAAAACAAACAAUCUCAGAAGAGGCUUACAAUACAAACUUGUGUGAAAAUAGACAUGGUGGCAACUUAAGAGCUCUAGUGUCGUCAAACAUUGUAACUACUACAGAUGCAAAUAAAAAAAUUUAUGAUUGGUUAAAAUUAAUUAAUAUUCCAACUAAAAAUGUUUCUUGAUGCAUGCAAGUUAGUCAAGUAUUUAGUUAUGAUUCCAAUUCGAUAUGGAAACAUUUUGAACCAUGCUAUUCUAUGAAAAAUACUUUGCUAGUUGUCAAAAUGGUAGGAGCUGAAAGUUGGAUUUAGGGAGUUUUGCUGAUAUUCCUUGGAGCAAUGUACAAUAUUCGUCAAGCAACAAAACAUUUGUGUUUACUACUUAUCCUGAUAAUAUGUUGAAGAUUAAAGAUCUUGGUAACACCCAACUUUGUUCAAAGAGCCUGACAAAUAGAAGAAUAUAUCCUUGUUUUGGUUUGGAGCAGUUUGUCUUUGAAGGCGAGAGUAAACAUGGGAAGAGAGUAAACGUGGGAAUGAAAAACUGAGAUUAUUCAUUGAAAAUUAGAAGUUAUAAUGUAUUAGGUUCAAAUACACUGAUAGGGAUUCAAGACAUUUAAGUCUUUUAUUUCAUGUAAAAUUAUGAUUGAAUUGAUCAGUUUGUAAUUAAUGUAUAGAGUAUAGAGUGGUGCUUAAAAAAAUCAUAAUACUUUGGUUUUAUGUAAAUAUA
rnacentral:lncRNA from 1 species